rnacentral:lncRNA from 1 species
GUAUCUGACUCAGGACCUGAUUUAAGGUUUGGGGUUUUUUGGCCCUUUGUUUCUUCCUCUUGUUUUUUGACCUUUAGUUACUCCACACCUCAUUAGUUCCUUGACCUGCAGGUGGACUGAGAAGAGAGCCAUGGUAGCAGGCAAGAGUGUGGUUAUCGUUGGACCAGGAUUCAGGAUCUGACUGAGUAGCUGACUCUUAAUCCAGUUUGUGUUGAUCACCAGGAGGAUCUGGACCUCAGUAUUACCACAUCUAGAGCUAUAAUCACAUCCCUGUUAAGCCUUCCUGAGAUCACACCAAAUGUCCUUGAUGGGAAUUGUAAACAACCCUUACUUCUGGUUUCUAAUGAUAUUCCAGGAAAGGAGCCUAACUAGAGUCAGUGAUAUGCCAACUCCACCUUUGCCUUCCACCAUGUUUGGAAGCUCCCUGAGGCCUCACCAGGAGCAGAUGCUCGUCCCAUGCUUCCUAUAAGCCUGCAGAACUGUGAGCCAUAAUAAACUGUGAAUUAUAAAUUGCCUUUAUAGCAAUGCAAAUGGACCAGUACAGAUGGGAUGCUGGGAAGACAGUUGUUUCCACCUUCAGUAAAGUCCGUGGAACACAGUUGUGACUAUAUUCUAGGCCAGCCAAGAUGCUUGUACUCAGAAAGGAGUGGUCUCAGGACCAUAAGAAAGUGAAAAAAUAAAAAUAAGAAAAUAAAGAA